CAGAGCCCAGGAGUCCCAAAGCCUCAGAACCUAACUGAUAUCAGGCACUCUGCUCCACUAGGAAGCGGAGCUUUGUUCAUGGUGAGAACCUACUUCUGACCUACUGAAAGCUGCAACUUAUGCCCUGAGUGUCAUCAGCACUGUUUCUUGAGGGGGAGUAUGGUUCUGAGUGAAUCUGAUUGUGGGAAAUGAGGGAGAGAUGAUAUCCGAAAACCCCUGGAAGUCGCCUCAUGCUGCCUAAUGAAGAAUCAAU
rnacentral:lncRNA from 1 species